CGAGUUCGCCGGGCGGUCGCGGUCGCAAGACCGAGGAAAGUCCGGACUCCACAGGGCAGGGUGCUGGGUAACGCCCAGGCGGGGUGACCCGACGGAAAGUGCAACAGAGAGCAGACCGCCGAUGGCCCCUUCGGGGCACAGGCAAGGGUGAAACGGUGGAGUAAGAGCCCACCAGCGGGCCGGGCGACCGGCCCGGCUAGGCAAACCCCACCCGGAGCAAGGCCAAGCAGGGACGCCGGUGGCCCGCCGAUCGAGUCCCGGGUAGGCCGCUAGAGCCACACGGCAACGUGUGGCCCAGAUGGAUGACCGUCCUCGACAGAAUCCGGCUUACAGGCGGACUCGCAUU
rnacentral:RNase_P_RNA from 1 species